GACAGAGGUUGCAAACGUUGUUCGGAAUCACUGGGCAUAAAGCGCACGUAGGCGGUCUGUUAAGUCAGGUGUGAAAGCCCCCCGGCUCAACCGGGGAACAGCAUCUGAUACUGGCAGACUCGAGGAUGGUAGGGGUGAGUGGAACUCCAGGUGGAGCGGUGAAAUGCGUAGAUAUCUGGAGGAACACCGGUGGCGAAAGCGGCUCACUGGACCAUAACUGACGCUGAGGUGGCGAAAGCUAGGGUAGCAAACGGG
rnacentral:rRNA from 1 species